GGUAGGAUGGCCGAGUGGUCGAAGGCGCUGGUCUUGAAAACCAGAGACCCUUAACGGGGUCCGGGGGUUCGAAUCCCUCUCCUACCGCCA
rnacentral:tRNA from 1 species